CUCCGAUUACUCCCACAUUUCUAAACUGACCAACAUUGAGCCAAACUAAACUUUCACAUUUAUAAAGGCAUAUCCUUUGAUUUUUAGAUUUUAUGUUUUUUUUUCACCUUUGGAGUUCAUUCUUAUUAAGCAGAUUCUAGUCCAAAGCCACUGAUUUGAUCUUAAAGGGCUAGAAAUUGUCCCCAGCCUGAAAGAAUUUAAGGAGGCCACAUCAGAACAUAAUUAACCUUAAAUGAUUCUGUUUAUUCUACAGUAGACCCAGCUUUAGGCCCCUUCCUUGUCCUCACUCUGCACAUUCAUGGUCCCUAAUCUGGAGGUCAUUGCUAGUUACGAAAGUCUCUGACCUUUUCUGAAUCUAAAAUAUUCUGGGACUGGGUCAUUUCAAUGUACAUAUCCCUUGCCUUUUACAGCUCUGAAACCGCACCCUGGCAAGGGCCAGAAUCUGCUGGGGGUAGUUAUUGGUUUGCUAUUUGUACAGGCAUUCUAUGUAUGAAUCACUUUCCUUUUUUGGUUUUUCUAGAAGCAGCAAAUAUAUAAAUAAAAAGUAUCAGGGGAGCUUAAAAAUCAAACCACCCUGCCUUUCAUUUGAGACCUUGAUCUCCAUUUCCCACUCUCUUAUCUAUAGCCCCAUCCCUUAAGAAUUUCCAUGGAGCUGAGAACAGAUAGGAGGUACAGAUGCCUGAAGCCUGAAGCUUUCCCUUUCUUAGACCCACAGCAAAUAACAGGCUCCAUGAAGACGCCCAACAAGCUGAGCGUGCGGUUUUACCAGAAGCAGCCUAGGGCAGAGAGGAACUAAGCCUAGAGCAGAUGACGGAGACUUGACCAGAAUGGUACUGAUUGCAGCAAAACUGUGCACACUGCUCUUUGGGAUUAUCUUUGUUUUCUUUUCUUUUCUUUUUUUUAAUUACUCUUUCUCUCUGUUUUCUCUUCUUUCAUUCAAUCUCUUCUCAUUCCCCUUGUCUUAAAUCCUUUUGAAAUUCUCAGGCACCUCUCUUCCAUAAAAGCUACUUCUUUUCAAAACUUACUUUCUGUCCCUAGAAUGACAAUUUAAAUGAGAAAAACAUCUUCCUUUUGUAAAAGUUUAAGUCUCUGUAGUAAAAAAAAAAAAAAAGUCUGGUUUCUGAUGGCAAUUAUGUUGCACGAAGUGAAGGAAUGGGCCAGGUGUGGUGGCUCAUGCUUGUAAUUCUAGCAUUUUGGGAGGCUGAAGUGGGAGGAUCCCUUGAGGCCAGAAG
rnacentral:lncRNA from 1 species